UUACAAUUUUAUGAAACAGAUUUAUUCCACAAUUAACGAAAUAAAUGUUAUAACAAUUAUUAUAACUUACAAAUUUCACUUGUGGGAAUUGGCAUUAUGUCGCUCAGUACUCAGCUGUAUUGUGUUUUGUGGUGUGAAAGCGUGAACAAGAAGAAUUGAAGUCUAGCUGUGUCAAAAAAAAUAUGGAGGGUGGCAGAGGUCGUGGAAGAGGGGUUACGAUAAGUGCUUCAACUUAUCCCAGUUCAAUCUCUCCACCUCCAACCAAAAGCACAAAUGUUAUUAAAGGACUUGGAAGAGGCAGCAUUGGCAACCAAUGUGAGAACCUACCAAACACAGCCUCAAGCACUGCAACUGACAGUCAUGACAUUAAAAAACCAUAUCAUGGAGAGUUCAGAAGAAUACCACAUUCAGUAGGUACACCAGAGGCAUACAA